rnacentral:rRNA from 1 species
UGGGGAAUUUUGGACAAUGGGCGAAAGCCUGAUCCAGCAAUGCCGCGUGUGUGAAAAGGCCUUCGGGUUGUAAAGCACUUUUGUCCGGAAAGAAAUCCUUGGCUCUAAUACAGUCGGGGGAUGACGGUACCGGAAGAAUAAGCACCGGCUAACUACGUGCCAGCAGCCGCGGUAAUACGUAGGGUGCAAGCGUUAAUCGGAAUUACUGGGCGUAAAGCGUGCGCAGGCGGUUUGCUAAGACCGAUGUGAAAUCCCCGGGCUCAACCUGGGAACUGCAUUGGUGACUGGCAGGCUAGAGUAUGGCAGAGGGGGGUAGAAUUCCACGUGUAGCAGUGAAAUGCGUAGAGAUGUGGAGGAAUACCGAUGGCGAAGGCAGCCCCCUGGGCCAAUACUGACGCUCAUGCACGAAAGCGUGGGGAGCAAACAGGAUUAGAUACCCUGGUAGUCCACGCCCUAAACGAUGUCAACUAGUUGUUGGGGAUUCAUUUUCCUUAGUAACGUAGCUAACGCGUGAAGUUGACCGCCUGGGGAGUACGGUCGCAAGAUUAAAACUCAAAUGAAUUGACGGGGUCAUAGCUGUUUCCU